rnacentral:lncRNA from 1 species
UUCAGUUCAUCCUUGGUGAAUGCUAGUCAAAAUUCUAUGUGAUGUCACAACAGAAAUCUUCAGUUAACAGUCGUGGAAAGGACUCAAGCUCUACUCCAUCUCCACCUCCUUGGGUUUGGGUAAAUUCUCAGCAGGAUUGUGCAUUAGAUGGAAAGACCGCCUCUGCAGGCCGCUGGCUGACUUCAAGAUAGUCGUGCUGUAUCAAGUGGUGUGAGAAGGAAAGACCCAUAAGAGACUUUGUCAUCCAAGUUUCAGAUUCCCCUGGAUUCCUUAGCGAUAAGACAUGCAUGGCUCAUUACAUAUUCUAUUUAUGAAAUUUCUACGGGCAAAGACUCGAAUGCCCUUUAACUGGGUGCGCACAUGGGCAUCGCAUAGUUUUCCAGAGUAACCCAAGAUACUGGGGUGGAGAGAAAAAUGGAACCAGAAGACAAGCCAGCUUCUACCAAAGCCACCCAGCAGUCAGCCAGCCCAGACUCUCAAAUCUGGACCUGGGGGUCAGCCCUAGGUAGACAGGCAAGCCAUCUUUCAAAGGCUCCCAUGUCCUCUUAAUAAAGUGAGAGCCAGACAUUAGCAAUCAUUCUCACAAUUUUUAAAAACCAU